rnacentral:misc_RNA from 1 species
UGUGGUUAUGCGGUAGGGGCACCCAAAAACAAUUCAACAGGAAACGCUACCAUGGGGGAUCAAGAGCUUCUCAAUGAGUUCAAGGCUGAAAGGAAUUUUCCCACUAUGAGGUAAGGAACAAAUUCGAAAGAAGAAUUACCACAAACACCUUCAAUCCUUUACUCUUGUUUCUGUGAUUUUUCCUUUUUCUUGCUAUCCAAUCGUUUAUCAGUGAGAAAGAUUCAGAGUGUAACAUCUUUAUCCCUACUUAUAAUCAUCCUUCCUUUGC